rnacentral:rRNA from 1 species
AGGAAGGUAGUGUAGUUAACACCUGCAUUAUUUGACGUUACCUACAGAAGAAGCACCGGCUAACUCCGUGCCAGCAGCCGCGGUAAUACGGAGGGUGCGAGCGUUAAUCGGAAUUACUGGGCGUAAAGCGCAUGCAGGCGGCCUGUUAAGUCAGAUGUGAAAGACCCGGGGCGUUAACCUCGGAAUUGCAUUUGAAACUGGCAGGCUAGAGUCUUGUAGAGGGGGGUAGGAAUUUCAGGUGUAGCGGUGAAAUAGCGUAGAGAUCUGAAGGAAUACCAGUGGCGAAGGCGGCCCCCUCGGACAAAGACUGACGCUCAGAUGCGAAAGCGUGGGGAGCAAACAGGAUUAGAUACCCUGGUAG